rnacentral:rRNA from 1 species
CGGAGGAGCUAGCGUUAUUCGGAAUUACUGGGCGUAAGCGCACGUAGGCGGCUUGUAAGUUAGAGGUGAAAGCCUGGAGCUCAACUCCAGAAUUGCCUUUAAGACUGCAUCGCUUGAAUCCAGGAGAGGUGAGUGGAAUUCCGAGUGUAGAGGUGAAAUUCGUAGAUAUUCGGAAGAACACCAGUGGCGAAGGCGGCUCACUGGACUGGUAUUGACGCUGAGGUGCGAAAGCGUGGGAGCAAACAGGAUU